UACGUAGGGGGCAAGCGUUGUCCGGAAUCAUUGGGCGUAAAGCGCGUGUAGGCGGCUCGGUAAGUCUGCUCUGAAAGCCCGGGGCUCAACCCUGGGAGGCGGGUGGAUACUGCUGAGCUCGAGUCCGGAAGAGGCGAGUGGAAUUCCUGGUGUAGCGGUGAAAUGCGCAGAUAUCAGGAGGAACACCAAUGGCGAAGGCAGCCUUCUGGGCCAACACUGACGCUCAUGCACGAAAGCGUGGGGAGCAAACAGG
rnacentral:rRNA from 1 species